CAAUCGACGGCGGCUCGUGCUGAGUGCUGACAUCGCAGUAAAAAGAGUUAUUUAUCAGGUUUAUUGUGCCUACUUAACGAGCAGAAAAUCCUGGUUAUGUGCACAGAUACUUUAUUAGAAAUGCGCUCCGUUUUUAUCAUACGAAACCGUCCAGGAGUCCGGAAAAACGGGAAGUUGGGUUAAUUAUGUUUCAAACCCUGGGAGUUCGUAAGGCUGCGAAAGUUGGAAAUCUACGGAUUAUAUUUCUGAGCGGUGGCCGUGACAGGAAACUGUGAAGAUGGACCGACGAAGCCUUAUAUGUUAAAUAUUGACACCAUCAACAUCAAGCCCAACCCAAUGUACAAUGGCAACAAUGGGAUAAACAUUUUUCAACAUGUAAAAGUUUUUUACUACGUACCUACUGGUUCAAUAAACUAA